CAGACGGACGCCGGGGAGGCCAAGGAGCACGUAUCCACUACCUCGGGCAUGGCUGUGAGGAGUCCCGAUGCACACGAUCUGCACCCCAGCUCUCAGCAACCAGACUACUCCGCUGAGCGCGAGAGAAAGGGGGAGUGAGGGUUCAUGUAAGCAUUUCAAAAGCUAUUGUGAAAGAGAGUCAACAUCAAGGUUUAUAUUUUAAAACCGUUUUGUGUCUGCUUUCCAUGUCGGCAACCCAGUAUGUACAUUUCCAGGCCCUAGAGAUCAAAAUAAAAAUAAACCACAUUCUCAUCU